rnacentral:rRNA from 1 species
AACGAACGCUGGCGGCAGGCUUAACACAUGCAAGUCGAGCGCCCCGCAAGGGGAGCGGCAGACGGGUGAGUAACGCGUGGGAAUCUACCCAUCUCUACGGAAUAACGCAUGGAAACGUGUGCUAAUCCCGUAUACGUCCUCCGGGAGAAAGAUUUAUCGGAGAUGGAUGAGCCCGCGUUGGAUUAGCUAGUUGGUGGGGUAAAGGCCUACCAAGGCGACGAUCCAUAGCUGGUCUGAGAGGAUGAUCAGCCACACUGGGACUGAGACACGGCCCAGACUCCUACGGGAGGCAGCAGUGGGGAAUAUUGGACAAUGGGCGCAAGCCUGAUCCAGCCAUGCCGCGUGAGUGAUGAAGGCCCUAGGGUUGUAAAGCUCUUUCACCGGUGAAGAUAAUGACGGUAACCAGAGAAGAAGCCCCGGCUAACUUCGUGCCAGCCGCCGCCGGUAACAC